CUGAGUCUGUUCUCUGUUCUCUGCAAGUCGGAGAAGAAAGAAGCUGAAGACAUCGGGAAGUUGGUUGCUUAACGGCUAUUUCUUAGCUCUGUCCCAAUGUAUUCCCCGAAGAUGCCGAAGAGAAAAGCGAAGGAGUGUGUCAAACUCACUGAAGAAGAUGACAAGCGAAUUCGAAGAGAAGAGAAGAAAGAAGACUUGGUAGACGAAGAAGUUGAAAGACAAAUCGCUGCGAUUAGAGCGAUCCGUGACGUUGAGAUUGAACAAACUAUAACUGCGUUGAGAUUGCUCCGUUCAUAUUUUACCGAGGAACAGCUCGACACACCUGUGUUGGACUUCUUCAAAGAGAACCUUCCUGAUUUGUCAAUAUCGAGAAACGAAGAAACUGGGGAGAUUGAGUUAAAGUGGAAAGACGAAAAUGGUGAUUCUUCUAUUCUUAAACGCUUGUCAAUGGGUUUCCCUGAUUUUUACAAUACUAGGCCUUCUCUUCUUGGUGGCUAUGAUUUACCUGAUAACGUGAAAGCAAGCCUGUUAGGAACUGAUAACCCACAGCUUGAGAAUCUUGUCUUCCAGGGGACAUCUGACAACCAUAUGCUUGCAAGCCAUGCUGCUUUUCAGACUCCUGGGGUAAAUGGGCAAAGACUCUCUUUUGGAAUGACACCAAAGACCCGGAGGCUACCAAAACCUGGAGAGAUGAUGCUCUCUGUGCAUGGCUCUCCUUUGGGGGUCUACAAAGAAGACCACAACAUUGGAGCUAUAAAUGAGGAAAACAGUUGAAGGGCUACAUAGAUUCAGACACUUUUGGAUUGUGAUGGUUUACUUUAUCUUCUAGUCCAAGUCUUGGUUGGAGGAAAUGAUUAUCGCUGGUCUUCACAAUAGCAAUUCCCGCUACACUGGUCACUAUAUUGUGAUAUGUGGCUAUGACGCGGUUAGAGAUGAGUUCAAGAUCAGAGAUCCCGCCAGUUCCAAGUAAUAUUUUGUUAUAUCUCAUUGCUUGAAUACUUUACAUAUCGGUCCCUUCCUACAUUUUUCCUGACAUGCUAAAACUGUUUGCAUGUUCAUAUAUUUUAGGAAUGUUUAAAAUCUAAACACAAUGGAAAAAUGUGUUCCAUGUUAGUAUGUUAAUGGUAUAUUCUAAAGAUAUUUUACAUCACAUUUAUAGUCUAUUUAGAUGCCAGUUUUGAUUAAUAUUGAGGAAGAGACCUUUGAGAAGCAAGGAAGAACAUUUUACACAUCAUCUUGGAACGUGCGAAUCGCCAUUACUCAGUACUAGUAAGAAUUAACAGAGAAAUAAAUUGUUGAUAAAGAUCUUUUGGCAUGUCAAAAUGCUUGGAGAAUGCCCGGAAAUCUUUUGGCACAGAUGAAGAUCUUCUCCUGAUAAACUUGGAGAAUAUCAGGAACCAGAACAAAUUUUAGAACAGUUCUCAUCAUCAUCAUUAAAUCAAUUCUGGAACAGAAUGAAACCUGAGUGUUUUUUUUUGUAAGUCCAGUGAAAGACUAUUUGUAAGUAGCAGUAACUUGUAGCUUUUCCAGUUCAGUAACAGACGCUACAGUUAGUUGAUAGCUAAAUCUUUAAUCGGAAGCUAGGAGAAUUAGGGCAAUAUGGUUUUGUGUUUAGAGCUGGGUCGAGACUCUAGAGUGAAAGAAUCUUAUCAUAAUGUUCCAUGCUGGAUUGUAAGAAAUUGGUUAAUGCUUGAUGAACACACAGAUAUCAGGGCUAUGAAUAGUGAAAGCUGUCCAUGCAAAUCCAAGAAAGACAGGGA